rnacentral:rRNA from 1 species
UACGUAGGGGGCAAGCGUUGUCCGGAUUUAUUGGGCGUAAAGAGCGUGUAGGCGGCCAGAUAAGUCCGCUGUGAAAUCUCGAGGCUCAACUUCGAGCUGUCGGUGGAAACUAUCUGGCUAGAGUCCGGAAGAGGAGAAUGGAAUUCCUGGUGUAGCGGUGAAAUGCGCAGAUAUCAGGAAGAACACCCGUGGCGAAGGCGGUUCUCUGGGACGGUACUGACGCUGAGACGCGAAAGCGUGGGGAGCGAACAGG